rnacentral:rRNA from 1 species
UACGUAGGGUGCAAGCGUUAAUCGGAAUUACUGGGCGUAAAGCGUGCGCAGGCGGUUGUGCAAGACAGGUGUGAAAUCCCCGGGCUAAACCUGGGAACUGCACUUGUGACUGCACAGCUGGAGUACGGCAGAGGGGGAUGGAAUUCCGCGUGUAGCAGUGAAAUGCGUAGAUAUGCGGAGGAACACCGAUGGCGAAGGCAGUCCCCUGGGCCUGUACUGACGCUCAUGCACGAAAGCGUGGGGAGCAAACAGG